rnacentral:rRNA from 1 species
UACGUAGGUGGCAAGCGUUGUUCGGAAUUAUUGGGCGUAAAGGGCGCGUAGGCGGUUUGCUAAGUCAGUUGUGAAAGCCCGGGGCUCAACCCCGGAGAGUCGGCUGAUACUGGUGGACUAGAGUACGGAAGAGGUAGCUGGAAUUCCCGGUGUAGCGGUGAAAUGCGUAGAUAUCUGGAGGAAUACCGGUGGCGAAGGCGGCAUCCUGGACCGACAUUGACGCUGAACGGCGAAAGCUAGGGGAGCAGACGGG